UAAGGAUUGCAACCAGAUAUGGGGGCACAGAAAUCAGCAUUUAAAUAAUACAAGGAUAAUCUUUACACAGGGCACAAUAACAUUAUGCCUGCAGUUGUCCACAUAGUCAGCCUACCACUGAAAGUUCACAGCCUCUAGAAUCAUCAGUGAUUAACAUUCAAAGUGUGAGUUUGGCAGGGAUACAGACACUUGGAAGUUGUAGCAAAGGGAAAGACAGAGCCAAAGGACCUUAGAGACGAGUUGGAGUUAGAAGGCUGUUUUUGUAGCACUCUUAGUGGCAGGACUUAUAAUUCAUUCAGUCUUCAUUCUUGGGACACAUGCUUACAGUUUAACUUUUAUUAAGGAAACUAGUACCAUAUAUCAAAUGGCAAAGGCACUUUGUUCAUGUCCAAAGGGAUGUUUGAAAAAGCAGGGCAAGGUCUGGGAGAGAGAUAGCUUGGCCCUUAGCCCACCAGAUGGAUAUUUGAUAAGUACUAUUUCUCUGUCUUUAAAAUGUUUUUCCUUAAGUUUAAUUAAUUUAUUUAUAUUUUGAGCAUCAUCUUGCUACAUGCAAAGACCUUAAACGUACCAUUAUCUUACCUCAGCCUCUAGUGUGCUGGGAGCUCAGUGUGUAUCUCUUUGCUUGGCUUUGUUAAAUACUAUUUCAGACGAACAAAGGCAGCUUUGCCCUUUUGCUGUUGUUUGGCAUACUUUGUUUUUUUUUUUUUUCCCUUCUCAUAUUACUAAGAAGUUAACACUGAUCCUUAAGUGAGAUGGAAAAAGAGUCUAGCAUUUGUUGAGUAUUAAUCUAGAGGUUGAUUGGUUUUGUUGUUGUUUGUUUGGGGGUUGGAAGAAUAAGGUAUUAGGUAGCUCAAGCCUGACUUUGAACAUCCAAUCCUCCUGUCUCCAUCUCCUAUGUACUGGAAUACAGGUACAAGCCACCGUUCCUAGUGUAUUAAUUACUUUCUUAUUGCUAUGAUAGGACACCAUGACCAAAGCAAUUUAAAAGAAAGUAUUUAAUCUGGUUUACAGUUCCGGAAGGAGAGUGGCCAUUGCGGGAGUGUGAAUGUGUGGUGGUAAGAAUUGCUGAGAGCUUACACUGCAGACUGCAAGCAGGCAGCAGAGAGAGCUAGCUCAAAAUGAUGUAUAUAUUCUUUCAUUAAACUUCCUGAGACGCUAAAGCCAGUCAGUCAUUUAAAGAGAUUCAGGCAUUCCUCAUUUGUGGUCAGACUUUGGAUUUAGUGUUUGUCAGUUAACAACUCUUGUGGCUAUGUUAAAUAAGGCAUGACUAGCAAGGGAUGUUCAACCUUUGUUUAGGAUAAUUAAAAAUUUUUAUCAAUAAAUGUUUUAAAUUUACAGAUAAAGCUGGAAAAGGCUGCUAAGCAGAAAGGAAAAGUGCCACCGCUGCCGAGCACAAAGCCAUCGUGAAGUCUGGUGAACAGAUCGAGCCGUCAUCCAGAUGCAUCUUCUAUUUAUUUAUUUUCUCCCAAUAUAUAUACUUUCUAAUUGUGUAAAUAUGUCCUUUUGAAUUGGCUUAGCUUAUUGAAACAAGUGAAGUGAAUUUUUGUUUUUUGUCAGAACUCAUGACUUAAAGCACUUUCUAUGCCUUUUAAAGAUGUCUAUUGGGUAGCACAGCCUGGCGUUGGGAUCACGGUAUUCUUGCCUUACCGUGUGUAUGCUCGCUCUCUCUCUCUUAGCAAGUUUUAUGUUAUUUUUAUGUGAUUCAAACCCCAAAAAUACAGUAAAUAUUUUUAGUUUAUC
rnacentral:lncRNA from 1 species